rnacentral:tRNA from 1 species
CCUGCAUGGCAUGCAGGAGGUCAGGGGUUCGAGCCCCCUAUCCUCCACCA